rnacentral:rRNA from 1 species
UACAGAGGUCCCAAGCGUUGUUCGGAUUCAUUGGGCGUAAAGGGUGCGUAGGCGGCGUCGUAAGUCGGGUGUGAAAUCUCGGGGCUUAACUCCGAAACUGCAUUCGAUACUGCGGUGCUUGAGGACUGGAGAGGAGACUGGAAUUUACGGUGUAGCAGUGAAAUGCGUAGAGAUCGGAAGGAAGACCAGUGGCGAAGGCGGGUCUCUGGACAGUUCCUGACACUGAGGCGCGAAGGCCAGGGGAGCAAACGGG